rnacentral:miRNA from 1 species
UCAUGGCUAUCAUCAUGGUCAUCAUGGUCAUCAUGGUCAUCAUGGUCAUCAUGGUCAUCAUGGUCAUCAUGGUCAUCAUGGUCAUCAUGGUCAUCA